AUUGAACGCUGGCGGCAUGCUUUACACAUGCAAGUCGGACGGCAGCACAGAGGAGCUUGCUUCUUGGGUGGCGAGUGGCGAACGGGUGAGUAACGCAUCGGAACGUACCGAGUAAUGGGGGAUAACUGUCCGAAAGGACAGCUAAUACCGCAUACGCCCUGAGGGGGAAAGCGGGGGAUCUUAGGACCUCGCGUUAUUCGAGCGGCCGAUGUCUGAUUAGCUGGUUGGCGGGGUAAAGGCCCACCAAGGCGACGAUCAGUAGCGGGUCUGAGAGGAUGAUCCGCCACACUGGGACUGAGACACGGCCCAGACUCCUACGGGAGGCAGCAGUGGGGAAUUUUGGACAAUGGGCGCAAGCCUGAUCCAGCCAUGCCGCGUGUCUGAAGAAGGCCUUCGGGUUGUAAAGGACUUUUGUCAGGGAAGAAAAGGAACGUGUUAAUACCAUG
rnacentral:rRNA from 1 species